AUCUUACUAAUAUAAACCACUGUCAAUAACAUAAAGCAUCAACUGUAAAAAAAUUUUUAGCGAUAAACUUUAUUAUAUUUAAAACUGGCUACGUAAUUCUCAACUAAACUGCAGCUUGUAGGGAUUCCUGAGCUAUUUGUAGCGCCUCCUCAACUGAAGAUGCUUUCUGAAGUUUGGAUUUAUCAACAGUAGGCUGGCUCCUUGCAAGUUUCGGAAGAAGUU
rnacentral:misc_RNA from 1 species